AUGGACCAGAAGGGACCCACAAAGGUUCGGGAGAAGACCAUAAGAGUCACGAGGGAGCGACAAGCGCACCAGGCGUGCCCCGGGGGGUGCCCCCUGAGCUUGUGGGGCCCUCGUGGCACCUCUCGACCUAAUUCAGCUUCUAUAAAUUCCCAAAUAUUCAUAAUAUAUCAAGAGCCACCUGAAACACUUUUUCCGCCGCCGAAAUCUUCUGUUCUUCCGCGAUCCCAUCUGGAGGCCUUUUCUGGCACUAUGCCGGAGGGGGAAUCAAUCACGGAGGGCUUGUACAUCAUCCUUGCUGCUUUCCGAUGA
rnacentral:rRNA from 1 species